rnacentral:misc_RNA from 1 species
GUGGGUGAACCUGCGGAAGGAUCAUCAACGAAUUCAUUAGGAGUUGUGCUGGUUCUUACAAGUGCACGCUCCUUACAAUUCCAUUCACACCCAAUGUGCACUCUAAGAGACGUAUCUCCCCCGUUUACGUGUGCCUUCACCGGCUCGGGAUUUCGUCUGUUUAACACACUCUUUAUUGUAAUAGAAUGUCAUUUGGCUUAAAUGCCUAAAGCUUUAAAUAUAACUUCCAACAACGGAUCUCUUGGUUCUC